GGGGGCGAUCUGGUAUCGACCGGGUAAUUUGAUGUGUUCGUUGCGUGUCGUGGAAGAUCUGAUGGCCACGUAAAAAUCAGGUCAAAACGUUAGAUGCUGAACCUACAUUCAGCCUGGCUGCCUAAUUUAGAGUAGCCACCAUGUCCGGGAGCUUAGGUUGAGAGGUCCCGGCGCGGUCGUCAAAUCAACCUCGCGGAUUCCAGAGUUCUUUCGCAAGAAAGGGCGCUUCGAGGGCGGAAUCGGCUAAAAAAACUGAUCGAUAGUCUGGCAAGAAUCCCGCAGGUGGGAGUAGUGUCGGACGAACGGGCUGGUUCGGCCAGCCGGAAUACGCCUGAUACACACGUAGAUACGGGCACUUCUGUGCCACGGGACGCGGGUUCGAUUCCCGCCGCCUCCAUUA
rnacentral:tmRNA from 1 species